GAUGAACGCUAGCGGCAGGCCUAACACAUGCAAGUCGAGGGAGAAGCCCUUCGGGGCAGGAACCGGCGCACGGGUGCGUAACGCGUAUGCAACCUACCUUUCACAGGGGGAUAGCCCGAAGAAAUUUGGAUUAAUACCCCAUAAUAUUAUUGGAUGGCAUCAUUUGAUAAUUAAAAUUACGAUGGUGAAAGAUGGGCUGCGUCCUAUUAGCUAGUUGGAGUGGUAACGGCACCCCAAGGCUACGAUAGGUAGGGGUCCUGAGAGGGAGAUCCCCCACACUGGUACUGAGACAGGGACCAGACUCCUACGGGAGGCAGCAGUGAGGAAUAUUGGUCAAUGGUCGGAAGACUGAACCAGCCAUGCCGCGUGCAGGAAGAAUGCCUUAUGGGUUGUAAACUGCUUUUAUAUGGGAAGAAUAAGGAGUACGCGUACUUUGAUGACGGUACCAU
rnacentral:rRNA from 1 species